GACGAACGCUGGCGGCGUGCUUAACACAUGCAAGUCGAACGCGCUUGGCCUUUUUUGGGUUGGGUGAGUGGCGAACGGGUGAGUAACACGUGGGUGACCUGCCUUGAGCUCUGGGAUAAGCCUGGGAAACUGGGUCUAAUACUGGAUAUGACCAAUUCUUGCAUGGGGGUUGGUGGAAAGUUUUGUUCUUUGUUGGACAUUUCGGCUCGAGAUGGGCCCGCGGCCUAUCAGCUUGUUGGUGGGGUGAUGGCUUACCAAGCCUA
rnacentral:rRNA from 1 species